rnacentral:rRNA from 1 species
GAGUUUGAUCCUGGCUCAGGAUGAACGCUGGCGGCGUGCCUAACACAUGCAAGUCGAGCGAAGCAUACAGAAUGAAGUUUUCGGAUGGAUUUCUGUAUGACUGAGCGGCGGACGGGUGAGUAACGCGUGGGUAACCUGCCUUAUACAGGGGGAUAACAGUUAGAAAUGACUGCUAAUACCGCAUAAGCGCACAGUACCGCAUGGUAGUGUGUGAAAAACUCCGGUGGUAUAAGAUGGACCCGCGUCUGAUUAGCCAGUUGGCGGGGUAACGGCCCACCAAAGCGACGAUCAGUAGCCGACCUGAGAGGGUGACCGGCCACAUUGGGACUGAGACACGGCCCAAACUCCUACGGGAGGCAGCAGUGGGGAAUAUUGCACAAUGGGGGAAACCCUGAUGCAGCAACGCCGCGUGAGUGAAGAAGUAUUUCGGUAUGUAAAGCUCUAUCAGCAGGGAAGAAGAUGACGGUACCUGAUUAAGAAGCCCCGGCUAACUACGUGCCAGCAGCCGCGGUAAUACGUAGGGGGCAAGCGUUAUCCGGAUUUACUGGGUGUAAAGGGAGCGCAGACGGCAGUGCAAGUCUGGAGUGAAUGCCCGGGGCCCAACCCCUGAACUGCUCUGGAAACUGUGCGGCUAGAGUAC